rnacentral:rRNA from 1 species
GAUGAACGCUAGCUACAGGCUUAACACAUGCAAGUCGAGGGGAAACGACAUUGAAGCUUGCUUCGAUGGGCGUCGACCGGCGCACGGGUGAGUAACGCGUAUCCAACCUGCCUCUGACUAAGGGAUAACCCGGCGAAAGUCGGACUAAUACCUUAUGAGGUUUUCUGCAGACAUCUAAUGAAAACGAAAGAUUUAUCGGUCAGUGAUGGGGAUGCGUCUGAUUAGCUUGUGGCGGGGUAACGGCCCACCAAGGCAACGAUCAGUAGGGGUUCUGAGAGGAAGGUCCCCCACAUUGGAACUGAGACACGGUCCAAACUCCUACGGGAGGCAGCAGUGAGGAAUAUUGGUCAAUGGGCGAGAGCCUGAACCAGCCAAGUAGCGUGCAGGAAGACGGCCCUAUGGGUUGUAAACUGCUUUUAUGUGGGGAUAAAGUGAGCUACGUGUAGUUUAUUGCAGGUACCACAUGAAUAAGGACCGGCUAAUUCCGUGCCAGCAGCCGCGGUAAUACGGAAGGUCCAGGCGUUAUCCGGAUUUAUUGGGUUUAAAGGGAGCGUAGGCCGUGGAUUAAGCGUGUUGUGAAAUGUAGACGCUCAACGUCUGAAUUGCAGCGCGAACUGGUUCACUUGAGUAUGCACAACGUAGGCGGAAUUCGUCGUGUAGCGGUGAAAUGCUUAGAUAUGACGAAGAACUCCGAUUGCGAAGGCAGCUUACGGGAGCACAACUGACGCUGAAGCUCGAAGGUGCGGGUAUCAAACAGG